rnacentral:rRNA from 1 species
CGGAGGAAAAGAAACUAACAAGGAUUCCCCCAGUAACGGCGAGUGAAGCGGAAGAGCUCAAGCUUAAAAUCUCCAUGUUUUACAUGGCGAAUUGUAGUCUAUUGAGGCUGUUGUCAGCAUAGCGAUUUGGGAUAAGUCCCUUGGAAAAGGGCAGCAUAGAGGGUGAUACUCCCGUCUUUGCUCAGAUUGUCUAUGUGUACGAUACGCUUUCUUUGAGUCGAGUUGUUUGGGAAUACAGCUCAAAGUAGGUGGUAAAUUCCAUCUAAAGCUAAAUAUUGGUGCGAGACCGAUAGCGAACAAGUACCGUGAGGGAAAGAUGAAAAGAACUUUGAAAAGAGAGUUAAAGAGUACCUGAAACUGUUGAAAGGGAACCGUAACAUGUCCAGUGUUGUAUCUUGUGCAUAUUUCAUUAGUGGAGUAAUUUACUGGUGCCCUGUGCAUGAGUGUGACGUCAAAGUCAGUUUGUAUGCUGCGGGAGAUGGUUAGCAAGGAGGUGCGUCACUUUUGUGUCAGUUAUACCUUGUUAUCUAGUAGCCGUGGUUGAGACUGAGGUGCCUACAACAUGCUUAUAGAGUAUAUUGUUGUCUCGUUAUUAUACCUGUUUGGAUAGCUUGCUAUGCUGAUGGUCUAUAGUGGCGAUUGAUGAUGGUAUUAACUUUUUGCUGUUCGGGACUUUGACG